UUUCAACAGUGACCGAGUGUUUUAAGAACAAAUGUUUUACGCAAGAUGUUUUAAAAUAGUUAUUUUCUACAAACAAGAAGGUCUUUUCUAACCUCAUUGUUUUCUACUAUGCAGUUCCACAUCCUUCCGUGGCACUGCCGUAUACAUUUCUUUCGCACCUAAGCUUGAGAUUAUUCAAGGUCCGUAGAAAGAAAAGGUUAGCUCACUUGGGGUAAACAAACGAAAAUAUGUUCUCGCCGUCUAUUGGCUGUGACGUCACUGAAGUUCUCUCUCCUCAGAUCAACAGAGAUUUCCGCAUUAAGCUGAACGUAAGCUUAUGAUCGACUGUGGAAACUCAUUAGUUCUUUUUUUUUUUCGUUCUCAAAUAUAAUUAAAUUUAUAUAGUAUAAUGGUUGGUACACACUGCGCGAUUGCAUUAUGCACCAAUAAUGCAGGCAAAAUAAAAAAUAAUCAGCAAAAUGUAUCAUUUCAUAGGUGAAGGAAUUAUUUAAAUCGCUUGGAAAAGAAUUUUUUGCAGUAGAAUUGGACAAGAUUGCUGAGUGAAAAAGCGGUUAAAGAGAGGAGAGUCUUGCUGAAUUGCUUUAUCCCCUAUCAAACCUGGAAUGCCAAAGAAUGGCCUCAGAAGCAUGGUCCAUGCUAAGAAGAGAGGGGCUGGCAGGAGGGCAA